CUAAGUAUAAAUAACUUUAUAUUGUGAAACUGCGUACAGCUCAUUAUAUCAGCAAUAAUUUAUUUGAUGGUUUCUUACUACUUGGAUAACCGUAGUAAUUCUAGAGCUAAUACAUGCGUAAGACCUGAACUCUUGCGGGGACGGGUGUAUUUAUUAGAUAAAAAACCAAUGCGCCUCUGGCGGUUGUUUGGUGAUUCAUAAUAACUUUUCGAAUCGCACGGUCUUGUACUGGCGAUAGUUCAUUCAAAUUUCUGCCCUAUCAGCUUUCGACGGUAGUGUAGUGGACUACCGUGGCGUUAACGGGUGACGGAGAAUUAGGGUUCGAUUCCGGAGAGGGAGCCUGAGAAACGGCUACCACAUCCAAGGAAGGCAGCAGGCGAGCAAAUUACCCAAUCCUGACACAGUGAGGUAGUGACUAGAAAUAACCAUACCGGGCUUUUAUGGUCUGGUAAUGGGAAUGAGUGUAAUUUAAAUCCCUAUGCGAGGAUCCACUGGAGGGCAAGUCUGGUGCCAGCAGCCGCGGUAAUUCCAGCUCCAGUAGCGUAUAUUAAAGUUGUUGCAGUUAAAAAGCUCGUAGUUGGAUUUCUGGUUGACGGCGUAUGGUCCGGCG
rnacentral:rRNA from 1 species